CACCAACAAAGGUUUGAAUGGAAAAUAUAAAAGAAUAACUAAGAUCUAUUUGAUAAUAAUUUUGUUUUUAAUUUAGAACACUACUUUCACCUAUAACGUUCUUUGAUGUUAUCAACUUUCUGUCAACAUUUUGAAUUUUACUGAAAAUUCAAAUAUUUGUUUAAGAAAGGUGAAAACCGUACUAAAAAAAUGUGAGAAAAAAACAUAAAUUACAAAAGCAGAAAGCUAAAAAUGAAAGCACUAUCCAAGAGGCCUAAAUAUUCACAAAUAGGCACAUCACAUAUGACCACGUUACUCCAAACACUAAAAUUCAGCAACUGAAGGAAAAGAAAAAACAUUCAAAGGGCGCAAGAAAAGUAGUGCAGUUCCUAUAUUCAGUAGAACAGUCGUAAUAUUCGAUCAUUUCUGCACACUACGCAAAAAGAAGGCAUUUCAAGUCAAUCUCUCCUGACUCCGUGCAAUAAUAUCGCAUGAUUUUUCAAACCAUGAAACACGAUGUGUAAAUAGCCGUCAUAUGAGGUAGGAGUUGAGAGUAAUAAAGCAAGCCAUUUCAGCAUAAAAAAUAAGUACUACAACGGUGUACUUCCACUUCUUCAUCCUUGAAAAGCAUAGAUGUCAUGAAGUCCAAGAUUUUCAAUUGUUUAAUAUCACCAUAAUUUAAUAGGAUAUUCAAUUUUGAAGAAUGUGAUUCCAACACA